UACGCUGGCGGCACGCCUAACACAUGCAAGUCGAACGCAGUAGCAAUACUGAGUGGCAAACGGGUGAGUAUAAUGUGGGAAUCUGCCUUUUGGUUUGGAAUAACACGGGGAAACUUGUGCUAAUACCGAAUAAGCCUUCACAGGGAAAGUUUUAACGCCGAAAGAUGAGCCCGCACUUGAUUAGCUAGUUGGUAAGGUAAAAGCUUACCAAGGCAAUGAUCAAUAGCUGUUCUUAGAGGAAGACCAGCCACAUUGGGACUGAGACACGGCCCAGACUCCUACGGGAGGCAGCAGUGGGGAAUCUUGCACAAUGGGGGAAACCCUGAUGCAGCGAUGCCGCGUGAGUGAAGAAGGCCCUUGGGUUGUAAAACUCUUUCGUCGGGGAAGAAAAUGACUGUACCCGAAUAAGAAGGUCCGGCUAACU
rnacentral:rRNA from 1 species